GUACCUAUAGUGAAGUUUGGUAAUCAUGCUCGACUGUGACUCGGGUAAUCGCUGGUUCAAAUCCGGCUAGGUACC
rnacentral:tRNA from 1 species